GGAAGUUCUCGGGUGAUGCACCCUUGAAUCGAGCUCCCUACUCUCUGGUUCCGGGUGCAUCACCCAAGAGCUGUA
rfam:Myotis davidii contig216495, whole genome shotgun sequence.